UACGGAGGGUGCGAGCGUUGUCCGGAAUUACUGGGCGUAAAGGGCGCGUAGGCGGCCUUCUAAGUCGAACGUGAAAUCCCCGGGCUCAACCCGGGAACUGCGUCCGAUACUGGAAGGCUUGAAUCCGGGAGAGGGAUGCGGAAUUCCAGGUGUAGCGGUGAAAAUGCGUAGAUAUCUGGAGGAACACCGGUGGCGAAGGCGGCAUCCUGGACCGGCAUUGACGCUGAGGCGCGAA
rnacentral:rRNA from 1 species